UAGCAAGAAUACAGGUGUUAUCCUCUGC
rnacentral:piRNA from 1 species